rnacentral:rRNA from 1 species
CCCGCUGAACUUAAGCAUAUCAAUAAGCGGAGGAAAAGAAACUAACAAGGAUUCCCUUAGUAACGGCGAGUGAAGAGGGAAGAGCUCAAAUUUUGAAUCUGAUAUCUUCGAUGUCAGAGUUGUAAUCUAGAGAAGUGUUUUCCGUGAUGGACCAUGCAUAAGUCUCCUGGAAUGGAGUGUCAUAGAGGGUGAGAAUCCCGUUUAUGGCAUGGACUCCCAUUGCUCUGUGAUACACUCUCAACGAGUCGAGUUGUUUGGGAAUGCAGCUCCAAAUGGGUGGUAAAUUCCUUCUAAAGCUAAAUAUUGGCGAGAGACCGAUAGCGAACAAGUACCGUGAGGGAAAGAUGAAAAGCACUUUGAAAAGAGAGUUAAACAGUACGUGAAAUUGUUAAAAGGGAAACGAUUGAAGUCAGUCGCGUCUACUUGGACUCAGCCUUGCCUUGGCUUGGUGCAUUUCCUUGUGGACGGGCCAGUGUUCAUGUUGGUUGCUGGAAAAAGUGUAGGGGAAUGUGGCUCUUUCGGGAGUGUUAUAGCCCCUGUUCAUAUACAGUGACUGAUAUGGAGUGGUACAGCAUGCUUCGGCGGUGCUUGUGCUGGCAUAAUGGCUUUAAACGACCCGUCUUGAAACACGG